UGAUGGUGAUAGCCUUUCUUGCGGGGAUUGUGUUGGUGAUAUUCUUGAGGACGGUGAGGAGGGAUUUGACGCGGUACGAGGAGUUGGACAAGGAGGCGCAGGCGCAGAUGAAUGAGGAGUUGUCGGGUUGGAAGCUUGUGGUUGCGGAUGUUUUUAGGGUUCCGAGGAACCCGAUGCUGCUAUGUGUGCUUGUGGGGGAUGGGGUUCAGAUUCUCGGGAUGGCUGCUGUGACUGUCUUGUUUGCGGCUCUUGGCUUCAUGUCUCCGGCCUCUCGAGGGAUGCUCGUCACAGGUAUGCUGUUGUUCUACAUGGUUCUUGGUGUUGUUGCUGGUUAUGUUGCCGUUAGGCUGUGGAAGACGAUGAAAUGCGGGGAUCAUUCGGGAUGGAGGUCGGUCUCGUGGCGAGUUGCUUGCUUUUUCCCUGGUGUCGCAUUCGUUAUAUUGACCAUUCUGAAUUUCCUCUUGUGGGGUAGCCAGAGCACGGGGGCGAUUCCUAUCUCUUUGUACAUUAUACUACUCUUGCUUUGGUUUUGCGUCUCGGUGCCUCUUACAUUUGUUGGUGGAUACUUCGGUGCCAAGGCACCACACAUCGAGUACCCUGUGAGAACUAAUCAGAUCCCCCGCGAGAUCCCCCCUCAGAAGUACCCGUCUUGGUUGUUGGUUCUUGGAGCCGGCACUCUUCCCUUUGGCACCCUUUUCAUUGAACUUUUCUUCAUAAUGUCGAGUAUUUGGAUGGGUCGAGUCUACUACGUCUUUGGUUUUCUCUUUAUCGUGAUGUCAUUACUCGUUGUUGUUUGUGCGGAAGUCUCUGUGGUUCUCACAUACAUGCACCUUUGUGUGGAGGAUUAUAAGUGGUGGUGGAAAUCAUUCUUCGCGUCUGGGUCAGUGGCGAUAUACAUCUUCUUGUACUCGAUUA
rnacentral:misc_RNA from 1 species